rnacentral:rRNA from 1 species
UACAGAGGGGGCAAGCGUUGUUCGGAAUUACUGGGCGUAAAGGGCGCGUAGGCGGCCUUCUAAGUCGAACGUGAAAUCCCCGGGCUCAACCCGGGAACUGCGUCCGAUACUGGAAGGCUUGAAUCCGGGAGAGGGAUGUGGAAUUCCAGGUGUAGCGGUGAAAUGCGUAGAUAUCUGGAGGAACACCGAUGGCGAAGGCAGGUCUCUGGGCCACUACUGACGCUGAGAAGCGAAAGCGUGGGGAGCGAACAGG